GACGAACGCUGGCGGCGUGCUUAACACAUGCAAGUCGAACGAAGAGCGAUGGAAGCUUGCUUCUAUCAAUCUUAGUGGCGAACGGGUGAGUAACGCGUAAUCAACCUGCCCUUCAGAGGGGGACAACAGUUGGAAACGACUGCUAAUACCGCAUACGAUCCAAUCUCGGCAUCGGGACUGGAUGAAAGGUGGCCUCUAUUUAUAAGCUAUCACUGAAGGAGGGGAUUGCGUCUGAUUAGCUAGUUGGAGGGGUAACGGCCCACCAAGGCGAUGAUCAGUAGCCGGUCUGAGAGGAUGAAAGGCCACAUUGGGACUGGGACACGGCCCAGACUCCUACGGGAGGCAGAAGUGGGGAAUCUUCCGCAAUGGACGAAAGUCUGACGGAGCAACGCCGCGUGAGUGAUGACGGCCGUCGGGUUGUAAAGCUCUGUUAAUCGGGACGAAUGGUUCUUGUGCGAAUAGUGCGAGGAUUUGACGGUACCGGAAGAGAAAGCCACGGCUAACUACGUG
rnacentral:rRNA from 1 species